UACAGAAUUCCAUAAACCAUCGAGUCUUUGAACGAAAGUUGCGCCCGAAGCCAUUAGGACGAGGGCACGUCAUCCUAGGCAUCACGCAUCGCGUCGCCCCCCUCGGAGCGGGUGGGGAUGGAGAUUGGCCCCUCGUGCGCACACCCGCACGUGGCCUGCCCAAAUGUGAAUCCCCCAUCGACAUCACGUUGUGACCAGUGGUGGUUGAACUAUUAACUCGCGUGUUGUCGCGCUCCAUGGCAUCGUUGGUCCAGAAACAACAUAACCUAAUGGCGCGAGUACGCAUCGUGCCCAUGACCGUGACCCCAGGUCAGGCGGGAUCACCCGCUAAGUUUAAGCAUAUCAAUAAGCGGAGGAAAAGAAACUUACAAGGACUCCCUUAGUAACAGCGAGCGAACCGGGAAUAGCCCAACUUGAGAAUCGGGCGAUCACGUUGUCCGA
rnacentral:misc_RNA from 1 species